GUGCCAGCAGCCGCGGUAAUACGUAGGGUGCAAGCGUUAUCCGGAAUUAUUGGGCGUAAAGAGCUCGUAGGCGGUUUGUCGCGUCUGUCGUGAAAGUCCGGGGCUCAACUCCGGAUCUGCGGUGGGUACGGGCAGACUAGAGUGAUGUAGGGGAGACUGGAAUUCCUGGUGUAGCGGUGGAAUGCGCAGAUAUCAGGAGGAACACCGAUGGCGAAGGCAGGUCUCUGGGCAUUAACUGACGCUGAGGAGCGAAAGCAUGGGGAGCGAACAGGAUUAGAUACCCUGGUAGUCCAUGCCGUAAACGUUGGGCACUAGGUGUGGGGGACAUUCCACGUUUUCCGCGCCGUAGCUAACGCAUUAAGUGCCCCGCCUGGGGAGUACGGCCGCAAGGCUAAAACUCAAAGAAAUUGACGGGGGCCCGCACAAGCGGCGGAGCAUGCGGAUUAAUUCGAUGCAACGCGAAGAACCUUACCAAGGCUUGACAUGAACCGGAAAGGCGUAGAAAUACGUCCCCCACUUGUGGUCGGUUUACAGGUGGUGCAUGGUUGUCGUCAGCUCGUGUCGUGAGAUGUUGGGUUAAGUCCCGCAACGAGCGCAACCCUYGUUCUAUGUUGCCAGCACGUGAUGGUGGGGACUCAUAGGAGACUGCCGGGGUCAACUCGGAGGRAGGUGGGGAUGACGUCAAAUCAUCAUGCCCCUUAUGUCUUGGGCUUCACGCAUGCUACAAUGGCCGGUACAAAGGGUUGCGAUACUGUGAGGUGGAGCUAAUCCCAAAAAGCCGGUCUCAGUUCGGAUUGGGGUCUGCAACUCGACCCCAUGAAGUCGGAGUCGCUAGUAAUCGCAGAUCAGCAACGCUGCGGUGAAUACGUUCCCGGGCCUUGUACACACCGCCCGUC
rnacentral:rRNA from 1 species